rnacentral:lncRNA from 1 species
GCUUCAUUAUUCAAAGUGCUACUGGUAUAUUUAUUAUAGCAAAAGAUGUUCAAAAUUGUGUGCUAUUUUGGAAGGUUUGAUAUAUGCUAUUUACAAAUUAUGUGCUUCAAAAAUUUGGGUGGAAGGAGAUUCUAUAGUAGUUGUUAAAUGGAUUUCUAACCCACCAUUUGAUGAUGGUAGACAGUAUCCAUUAUUACAGGAUUAUUGAAGAAUGUUGAGAUCUGUAUUUACUAUUGAAGUUUCAUAUACGUUUCAGAAGGCCAAUAGUACU